rnacentral:lncRNA from 1 species
GGAGCCACACGCACCAGCCACAGAUGCUUCCAGGGCAGAAGGAAGGAGAGUGAGGAAGAGGCAGACGCUCCACGCGUCUCUCAUGUCCCCAGAGAAUCUGGGUCAACCUGGAAAUGCUUGAAUACAGCCCAAGCCGAGGAGAAGUUACCCUCUUAUCCUCCCACUGACAUAUGGCUGCCGGCAACAAAAGCAGCUUCUUAGGAAGUUGCUGCUUAUACAGAGGAAUGAAACUCUGUGUGUGCACGACAAAACAGUGACUGCCAAUUUUAAACUAAAAAGCUACGAUGUACAAAGGAGAUGGCCCCUUGCUCUCCCCGUAUCACCCCCAUUGUGAAGUCAGACAGUUCGGACAGGCUUCUUCGCUGCUGAAAUGUCAGGGCAGGUGCACUCAGAGAGAGAGAAGGAACAGACAGCUCAUCUCCAAAUAGGCCUUACGAUGCCCCGAAGCCCAUCCCUAUACGACACAUCGUGUGCGUGCGAGCCAUGUGCCCGGGUGCCCUGGUGUCUUCGAGGAAAAGAUCUUCUCCUCUAUGAGCCUCAUCAAAAGCUUCAGAUAGAGAUACAUUCGAGACCAUGGGGAAGAAGAGGAGAACUAAGUUCAUUUGUUUGCUCAAAAGUGUUUACCAGGCAUCUGCCACGUGCAAAGGAAUGGCUUCAGUUUAGGAAUGAAACGAUGACAGAACAAUCACGGGGCAGAACUGCGCAGAGCACCACGGAGAGCUCCCACCCUCGUCCUCAGCCUGGUGGCAGGAAACAGCUGGCCGGAAUUUCUGAGUGCCUCUAAUGAGGAGGAUUCUUCCUUGUUGGGAUUUGGUGAUUAAAUGGAAUAAGACUAAUAUUCCUGGGUGGUUUCUGAAAGAGGGUUGCCCUGGAAGUUAAUCAGGUCCACGCCUCCAUCCCACGCCCCCGGGGGGAAGUCGCUCUUGAAAAUUAAGCUCUGGAUCACAUGCCCUCUCGGUGUCCCUUUUUCUUUCCACAUAUUUGGAGAAUGUUUCCUAGAUCCAACCCAGAGGUCAGGGCCAUUACAUUUUUUGGUAUUUCUCUCCUCAGGACACAGGGCCAAGGAUUUGUAA